ensembl:rRNA 5S_rRNA 5S ribosomal RNA
GUCUACGGCCAUACCACCCUGAAUGCACCCAAUCUCGUCUGAUCUUGGAGGCUAAGCAGGGUUGGGCCCAGUUAGUACUUGGAUGGGAGAAAUGAUUUAAAGGUUCUGUAAUUGGGUAACUUGCAGGAUGAUGUGAUC